rnacentral:rRNA from 1 species
GGGCCCGCACAAGCGGUGGAGCAUGUGGUUUAAUUCGAUGAUACGCGAGGAACCUUACCGAGGGCUUAAAUGUAAGUUGCAUAGAUCAGAGAUGAUCCUUUCUUCGGACCACUUACAAGGUGCUGCAUGGUUGUCGUCAGCUCGUGCCGUGAGGUGUCAGGUUAAGUCCUAUAACGAGCGCAACCCCUAUCGUUAGUUGCCAGCAAGUAAAGUUGGGUACUCUAGCGAGACUGCCGGUGCAAACCGAGAGGAAGGUGGGGAUGACGUCAAAUCAUCACGGCCCUUACGUCCGUGGCUACACACGUGCUACAAUGGCCGGUACAGAGAGCAGCCACUACGCGAGUAGGAG